GACGAACGCUGGCGGCGUGCUUAACACAUGCAAGUCGAACGGAAAGGCCCUGCUUUUGUGGGGUGCUCGAGUGGCGAACGGGUGAGUAACACGUGAGUAACCUGCCCUUGACUUUGGGAUAACUUCAGGAAACUGGGGCUAAUACCGGAUAGGAGCUCCUGCUGCAUGGUGGGGGUUGGAAAGUUUCGGCGGUUGGGGAUGGACUCGCGGCUUAUCAGCUUGUUGGUGGGGUAGUGGCUUACCAAGGCUUUGACGGGUAGCCGGCCUGAGAGGGUGACCGGCCACAUUGGGACUGAGAUACGGCCCAGACUCCUACGGGAGGCAGCAGUGGGGAAUAUUGCACAAUGGGCGGGAGCCUGAUGCAGCAACGCCGCGUGCGGGAUGACGGCCUUCGGGUUGUAAACCGCUUUCGCCUGUGACGAAGCGUGAGUGACGGUAAUGGGUAAAGAAACACCGGCGAACUACGU
rnacentral:rRNA from 1 species